UCUCCGUUGGUGAACCAGCGGAGGGAUCAUUACUGGAAUCGCAAGAUCCCACAACCCUGUGAACCUACCGAAACGUUGCCUCGGCGGGGGCCCGGCCUCCUCGCCGGGCGCUGCGCCCGCCGGCGGCCCCCUACUCUGUCUCUGCAGCGUGGCAUCUCAGAGUCCCAGAAAACAAGUCAAAACUUUCAACAACGGAUCUCUUGGCUCUA
rnacentral:misc_RNA from 1 species